rnacentral:lncRNA from 1 species
CGAUAUUAAUUUAAUACUGGUUUCUUUAUUGAGCAUAUAAAACUCACUCUUUCCAUGCCUCCCUCAAAUGAGGAAGAAAGUGAAGAACUACAGGCUAACAUACUCAUGGAAGUCUAUGAAGAUCCUGUGGAUCCACAAGUCUGAAUGCAUUACUGUUUCCGCACUCUGAUGAGUCUAAUAGCAUAGUGAAAGAAGUGGCCCUUAUGUUUUAUCUC